GUGGAGAUCAUUACCUACGUCCACCUCUGUUUGCAUCUUUCAGCCGUUACUAAAUGUGAUGAUGAAGGGAGCCAGGGAGAGUUGCUGUGUCUGCACCCUCGAUCCUUCUUUCACCCUUCGGUUUGGCUUUAGGGGUUUAGAUCCUAUUGGUUGGCACACACAGUUGAUGACUUGAACUUCGAUCCUUCCCGAUACGUGCUCGCUUACUUAAUGCAUAUGUCACCGUGUGCCAGCACUCAGGAUCUUGUCCUCUUAGCUCUGUCUUGACAUCAGUCUUGUAUCCUCUGUUCUCAGUCGAGGUCAGUUUUCUGGUCUUUUCCUGGUGUUCUCCUUGAAUAGGGUAUAUGGACGACAUACGCACUGACACUUUCACGCUCACAGUGACCGCUUCUGGGCUAGUAUGAGAGGCCAGGGGUGGAGUCCUUCUCUCUCCGUGACCCAUGGAUGACAUCUCACUGUCCUCUGCUUCCAACAUCACAGAUGAGAACACCAGGCCUUGUUAAUAUUUUCUCUCUUGAAGUAACAUGUUCUUCGUGUCAGUAAACAUGCAACUCUCCCCACCCCGGCUGUCCCAUCCGCCCACAAGGUUUCAGGGCUUCACGGGUUUGUGAGGGUGAGGGGUAAGGACGGGCAGGGGCUUCAGCGGACUGCGUGGGUGACUGGAGGCCUUAGACCCCCCUGGUGUGCUCCCCACGCACUCCUGAGGUCUUGGUCAGGCACUCGCCCGUGCCUGCUUUCCUGGUGUAACAGCAGAGGUGAGAGGUGGCUGGCUCGGGGGACUCGUGGCCCGGGGCUCGAUGUACGGUCAACACGCACGACCCCUGACGUGACCCUGAGGACACACACCCUCCUCCUGUGGGAUUCCCGCCCAGAUCAGCCCCGGGAAGAGGGUCAGCAGACACACCCACACGUGGGGCACCACGUGGGGCACCGUACACUGAGCAGUGCCCUCCAACCGCACCCGCCCCUGCUCUCCCCUCCCACUUUCAGGUGGUCGGGGGGGAAAGGGAGGGCUGAUCCUUUCUUUGAGUAG
rnacentral:lncRNA from 1 species